AGAGAGAGACAUGCGCGCAUAUCAAUAAGCGGAGGAAAAGAAACUAACAAGGAUACCCCUAGUAACGGCGAGUGAAGCGGGAAGAGCUCAAAUUUGAAAUCUUAAAGGGUUUCCCUUUACGAAUUGUAGUUUAAAGAAGUGUUUUCUGUUGAGGUUUUGGUAAAAGUUCUUUGGAAUAGGACAUCAUAGAGGGUGAGAAUCCCGUAUUUGACCUUUACUUUCAACUUUGUGAUACACUUUCAAAGAGUCGGAUUGUUUGGGAAUGCAGUCCAAAAUGGGUGGUAAAUUUCAUCUAAAGCUAAAUAUUGGCGAGAGACCGAUAGCGAACAAGUACCGUGAGGGAAAGAUGAAAAGAACUUUGAAAAGAGAGUUAAACAGUACGUGAAAUUGUCAAAAGGGAAGCGUUUGACACCAGUGUUGUUUUUCUGAAAAUCAAUUAAAGAACUGUUUAUGCUAAGUUGUUUAGACUUUAUCAGCUAACUGUUUAGUUUUGAGCUUUUCUUUAAUGCACUUUUCAGUUAACAAGUCAACAUCAAUUUCUUUUGCUGUAAAAAAGCUUGAGGAAGGUGGCUUGAGAUUCGUCUUAAGUGUUUAUAGCCUCUUGCCUAUGCAGUCGGAGAGAUUGAGGUCUGCAGCGUAGAUCCUUCGGGGCUAAAUGCAUUUGUGCUAAGUUAUAGCAUUUUAUAGACAACUUGUUGACUAUGAUUUGUCUUGUAGCUUACUCGCUUAUGUUAUUUUACCUACGCUUAGGAUGUUGACGCAUGAGAUAUACGC
rnacentral:rRNA from 1 species